rnacentral:rRNA from 1 species
GUUAAACCAUUCCACUAGAUUAUGCUUUGAUGGGAUGCCUUGACAUUGAGAGAAGGACGCACUUUAUGCCGAAAGGCCAUGAGGAGAAGCAACUCUGUGAUUCAUGGUUCUCCAAACAGGAAACUUUUUUCCUUUUUUUUUAUUUAGCGAAUUGAAACAUCUUAGUAGCUAAAAGAAAAAAAUCAAACGAGACUCCGUUAGUAGUGGCGAGCGAAAACGGACUAGGUAUAACAUACGGUGCUGCAUGGGGAGGGAUCCCCUCCCCAUGCAGCACCAAGAGAAGAAAACCAAAGAGGGUUCUAAAAAGUCCCGUAUCUUUCAACUGCAGUGCAGCGUAUGUUUUUUUAUAAGGGGGGACCACCCUCCGCACCUAAGUAUAUCUCAAUGAUCUAUAGUGCACAAGUACUGUGAAGGAAAGGUGAAAAGAACUCUGAAUUCAAAGAGAGUGAAAAGACCUGAAAAUCAAAGCAAACAAGCAGCUGAAGAUUACAAGUAGCGUUGCUUGCGUGGGGAGGGAUCCCCUCCCCACGCAAGCAAAUCCGCGUAUACGUGUGAAUUGACGGCGUACCUUUUGCAUAAUGGGUCAGCGAGUCAAUUAGUACAGCGCCGUGUUUUUUUGCUGUGGACCGGCGGAAGGCACUUUUCGCACCUUAACAACUUGCGAAAAGUGCCUCCCCCCGGCACAGCGGCUUAAACCGAUUAGGUGGAGGCAUACUGAAAAGGAGAGUGCUUUUUCCGUUGUGUUAAUUGGACCCGAAGUUUUUUGAUCUAGUCAUGGGCAGGCUGAAGGGUGCUUGACGGCACUGGAGGGCUCAAUUCGUCCAUGUUGCAAAAUGGUGAAAUGACCUGUGACUAGGGGUGAAAGGCUAAUCAAAAAAAACUAUAGCUGGUUUUCUGCGAUACGCGUUUAGGCACGGCGUUUGAAUAAUAAUCUCAGGAGGUAGAGCGACUCUAUGGGGAAGGGUGGCCCAAAACCUGACCAACUCCAAGGAAACUCCGAAUGCCUGGGAUUUUUACAAGCAGACGGACAUUGGGGGCUAAGCUCCAAUGUCGUGAGGGAAACAGCCCAGAUCGUACGCUAAGGUCCCUAAGCAAUUGCUCAGUGGGAAAUGAUGUCAUCUUCCUUAGAUAACCAGAAGGUGGGCUUGGAAUCAGCCAUCCUUUAAAGAACGCGUAACAGCGCACUGGUCGAAGUACUCCUCGGGCUUAUAGCCCCCGCCGCGGCCCCAAGGGGAACCGCACGCGGGCGAGCCGCGGGAGCAUCGGAAGGUGGCUCUGAAAAUGUAACGGGGCUUAAGCAAUUCACCGAAGCGACGAAAUUAACUAUGUGGGGUGGCGGACUGGCACUUCAUUGUUAAUUGGUAGCAGAACGUUCUUUCUAUUUAAGAAGAUGGGUCGCAAGAUUCAUUGAAAAUAUAAGAAGUGAGAAUGCUGACAUAAGUAACGAGAAUUUAUGAAUAGAAACAUAAUCGCCGAAAGUUCAAGGGUUUCUACGUUAAGUUCAACUGCGUAGAGUUUUGUGGCCCCUAAGAUAUAUGUUGAAAAGCAUUUUUUAAUGGGUUUUUAAAAGUGACGAAAGCGCUCCCACAGUGGCACGUCGGGCUUUUACAAUGCCCGUGCUAGCUUUUUGGAUUUUUGGUGGGUUCCCCCGCGGAAUCUUCGAAUUCGGUAUACCCCUGUGGGAUCUUUCCUGGAAACAACUUUUAACAAAAAACCAUACCCCAAACCAACAAAGGUGAACAGGCAGAAUAUGCUAAGGCGUUGCGGUAAGAAUGUUGAAGGAACUCGGCAAAUUGACCCUGUAACUUCGGGAGAAAGGGUGCUUGUUUCAAAGCAAGUGGCACAGAAUAGGGGGUGGCGACUGUUUAAUAAAAACACAGGACUCUGCAAAGUAGAAAUACAAGAUAUAGAGUCUGACAUCUGCCCGGCACUAUAAAACGAAAGGGGGGCUAAACGGUCCACUGUAAGUCAUAGUAAACGGCGGCAGUAACUCUAACUGUCCUAAGGUAGCGAAAUUCCUUGCCAUAUAAUUGAUGGCCUGCAUGAAUGGUGUCACGACUGCCCCACUGUCUCCAACGUUCGCGCAGUGAAAUUGAAUUUUCCGUGCAGAUGCGGAAUACUAGCAGCAAGACGGUAAGACCCUGUGCACCUUUACUGAAGCAUUGUAUUGAUAUUUUUGAAAAAAUGUGUAGCAUAGGUGGGACUAUGUAAAUCUGCGGAUGAGGGCGGAGCCCUCAUCCGCAGAGCUUUGCGUAGGUUAAUGAAAUACCACUCUUUUUUUGGAAAUGUCUAACGAACGCUUUUUUUUACGUUUCGUACAGUACAUUGUGGUUAGUUUUCCUGGGGCGGGAGCCUCCUAAAAAGUAACGGAGGCGUGCGAAGGUAUAUUCAAGCGUUCUAAGAACAGUUGAAGAGCGUAAUGGUAUAAGUAUGCCUGACUGCAAGACUUACAAGUCAAGCAGGGACGAAAGUCGGUCAUAGUGAUCCGGGGACUCCGGGUGGAAGGGUCCUCGCUCAACGAAUCAAAGGUACGCCAGGGAUAACAGGCUUAUUGCCUCCGAGCGUCCAUAGCGACGAGGCGGUUUGGCAUCUCGAUGUCGACUCCACCGUAUCCUUUUCGUGAAGAAGCGAAAAAGGGUACAUGUGUUCAAUGUUUAAAACGGUACGUGAGUUGGGUUUAGAACGACGUGAGUCAGUUUGGUUCCUAUCUACUGUUAGAAUUGCAUAAUUACGGAAUACUCCAUCUAGUACGAGAGGACCGAUGGGGGCUUUCCUCUGGUGUUUCAGUUGUUUUACCAAAAGCAUUGCUGAGUAGCUACGAAAGCAUAGGAUAAUCGUUGAAAGAAUCUAAACGAGAAGCCUUUUCCAAUACAAGUUGUGCCUAAGGGUUAAAGAUUAUAACUUUUGAUAGGCAGAAAGUGUAAACUUUGUAAAAUGUUAGCUAAUCUGUACUAAACUUAUUUUUUAUGUGCGGAA